UGCAGCACAGAGUUUCUUUCAUAAGCUUUACUUUCAUGUAAAACCAAGCCACUAAAUGCCUUCUCUGUAAAAGGCAGCACAUUAAAUGUCAUGGCUGGAACAGCCUGCCAUGCCUAAAAGUUCCAUAUCAAAUGAGAUAGCACCACUGACUGUAUACAUUAGAUACAUACAUAAAAACUAUUCCAGCACGUUAAAUGUAUGAACACUGUUGCCACUGCUGUGGUGUUAUCAGUCUUCUCAGCUGCAACCUCUGCAGGGUGGAGAUGGAAGAAAAGGUGAGAUGUAGAGCUGAAAGAGAAUGACUCUUUUUCAGGGAAUUCUGUAGCUAUGAAUCUUUUUUUUCCACUCCAAACAGAAAGUCAGUUUACAGAAUCUCCAGGAGAAUACAGUGAAAUGCAAAACUCUUUUUCUUUUUUUUUUAAACAGAGGUGUUCCAUUUCCAAGAUGUCAGAAUGAUGUUUUGACAUUAUUGAAAGCUGCGGUUUCAGUAAAAUAGAGAUUCGCGUUGGAAAGUGACAAACUUUUAGGAAGGGUUCUGCUUGUGACAAAGUGGUAUUUUCUAGCAUUGAAGCCAUCUGAUAAAUUCGAACCAGCUCUGAGUACUGAUACCAUAGUAUGUCAAGGUGGGGCUUUAAGGGGAAGAAUUCAAACUAUCACUGGGGAGAAAAAAUAAGUAAAAGAGAGGUUAAGAUCCAAGGUGUGGGGAAAAUAAGGAAAAGGAUUGUACGAGGACUCUGAAGGUGGUGCUAUGAAUUCAGCAAGAUUUUUAUCUGCUGUGGAGAUAGAUUGUUGUGGAGAAAGGAUUCGUGUUUUUUUUUAAAUGUAAGUGUGGAAAACAAACUGUACAGUUCUCAUGUUGUGAAGCAGCUUCUGUCUCAGCCAGAUACCCCCAUGAACAGACACAGUGAUACAGCUGGUGUCACGUUCAAGGAAUCAGCCUGUGAAGGGUUCAGUAUGUUGUGUCCCUGGGUAGCAUGUGACUUUUCAUUUCACAUCCUUACUUCAGCUUUACUCAUUUUAGAAAUGUUUUAACGUGGAGACAAGAUCUGCAGAAAGCCAUCCAGUCAUGUCAAGGUCCAACUCUUCAAACAUACGCAGACUACUUUGUUAAUCUGGGGGUAGUUCUCGGGAGUUUACUGGAAGUCUCGUGGGAUGUCAUUAGUCAUACCAUGGAUGAUCUAAUAGUGAUAGGGUAAGGGGGAAUGGCUUUGAACUGAAAGAGGGAAGAUUUAGCUUAACUGUUAGGAGGAAAUUCUUUACUCAGAGGGUGGUGAGGUACUGGCACAGGCUGCCCAGAGAAGUAGUGGGUACCCCAUCCCUGGAGGUGCUCAAGGCCAGGUUGGAUCAAGGAUUUUCAGGAUUAGGUCUUGAAGUGGUACCUUUCCAUACAAGUUAUAUUCUAGCAACAUGCACCCAAAUGAAUUUCAUUCCAUGAGGUAUUUUUUUGUAAUAUUUUGCUAUACAUACAGAAGCUGCCAUGGAUUCUUAUAUCUUGCUUAUUAUCAGGGUUCUGUUACCCAAUUCUGUUGAGGUGAGCUUCAAAACAACCUUCAUGAUCAACAAACAUUUGCUACCACUCCUUGUCAUGCACCAAGUGUUUAAACUGUAUGGAUGUGUCCCUUCAUAAUCCUCCAUUUGUGAAGGAUGAAGAUGAGGGCAUACCUGCUCCACAAAUCACCUCCUCACCCUUUGACCUGCCUUUCUCCUGGCCUGGCUCCAUAGGAUAUCAAUGAGCACCUCUUAUAUUUGAGCAGAGGCCGGAGGGCGCUACUUGGAGUCUACUUGAAAACAUGUGCAGUGCUGCAAACCAUACGUCAGGCAGAAAGGUGGGGAGAUGACGGCUGAGCGUGCCAGACACCGUGGGAGCCAUCCACCCCCUCUUCAGCUUAGCAGGAAGCAUCCUGUCAGAAACGCUUUCUGCACUGGGACUUUUCUUGAAAUAAUUAACUGUAAACGGUGACGGCUUGUCCUGCUGGGAGCCUGCGAUUCCUCCUGGGUAUUUAGAGAUGUGCUGGCUAGGAGAGUCAGAUGGUCAGAGCUCAUCAGACGGAAAGCACCAUGUCAUUGCGGCUCCAGCCUCAAGUCUAUUAGGGCUGCUCCCUCUAGUGGGAAAAGAAUUCAAGUUUUCCAGAUGUUAGUGCAAGACGCAGGGCGGUUCCUGUUCAAUGUUGGCUGACCAAAGGGCACACAUCCCCCAAACACUCUGAACAUGGCAGCCCAGCCAGCACCAUGUCCCACCCCAUCCCUGCCUGGCGGACAGCCAGUGGUCCUUCUGCCAGCAGUCACUGUUUGCUUCUGAUUUCCUCCUUCUGAUUACAAAAAUAGGACUUACUAUAAUCAUAAUAAUAUUAAUGGUACAAAAUAAUUACUGUAAUUAUACAUUUUUUGGCAAAUUAUUAACACAAAGCAGCCCAAAACCUCCUGUUGGACUAAAAAAAAUUGUGAAGAUGCACAAAUGUUAAAAAAGACAAAGUCUUCGUUAAAAAAGAGGGUGAAACAAUCUGCAAAAGAAUGCAUUUCUGUAAGGCAGCAUGUUACCUAUAGUCUUCUGUCUAGAUUUAGGUCAGAUUCUGCUGUUGUUCAGGAAGCUGUUAGAACUUGGCUUGCUUGAGCUUAUCAAUGUGGUAGCACAGUUUCAGCGCGGGUCCCAGUUUCAGCCCCAGGUAUUUCAUGAUCAUGUCGCUUUUCAGCAGCAACAAAGCAUUGCCAUCAAUCUCCUGGUUUCAGAAGAGAGAAAGAGAAUCAAAAUAUGUAAACCCCCUGCUUUCAGCACCACGAAAGCAAGAUGGCAGCACUGUGCCCUGACGUGUUACCCAAGGUGAAUCAGAAACGGCACGUCCUAGAUGGAAAUGUCAUGAAUUUUGAGAUUGCAUUAAAAAAUUGAAAGCUGAAGUAGGAUAAAAGGAAACUCUAAAGGAGCCUUUAAUCAAAUAUUACUACUUAUUCUUCAAGGAUCCACAAGGUUUGUCGGUGUUUUUGAUUCUGUGGCAGUAAAAUCAUGAGGAUUUUUUUAAACAUCAGACUUGCUCUAAGGCCAGCUCUGAGAAAACCAGUUGAUCUUAAGAGAAAGGAGUGAGUGAUGGAGGGAUGUGGCCUCACGAGCUGCUAAUAGCACACCUCUGAAUCUCAGGUCCAGCUUUGUUCCUGGCUAUCUGCAUAUUUUGUGUGUCCUCAGUACGCUUACUUACACCCAGCGAUACAUGCAAUUAAUUUCUUAAAUUGAAGGCGGUAGUACCGUAAUUCAUUUGAUUUAUUAAUAAAAUUUAUAUGAACUUAAUUUAACUCCCACAUAACUGGUGGAAAUUGCCACCAAGUUCACCUGUUUAUACCAGACCUGUUGGCUUUUGAAAAACCUUUCAACUACAAAGUGCUGUACUGAGCACCAAAUAGCACUGGUGUACAGUGAUGUGAGCGGUGUUUCACUGUAGGUUCUCCUAUGACCAUAAGGUACAGAAGCUUCCAAAUACAGUGCCCUUCUUUGGUUUCUGAGCUUGCCUGUUUUUUGUUUUUUUUCCCCUCAACUGUAUUAGGGGAUCUGCUUAAAAAUACUACCUCUCCUCUUGGUCUUUGCCUCAUUUGGUUACUUGGAGAGCUAAAACAUAACUAAUGAAUGUGAGUGCGUAAAUACAGACAUCCACACAGGAGCACUAAUGCUGUAUAUAUUGUAUUUGAUGGUUUUCAUGGCACAUCUUUUCUCUGUGAUCCAUUACCUACUAAUUAAGCAAUACUGUGGAUCCUAAUUUGCCCUGAUCAUUAUUAUUGCAUUCAGCAGGUGAUUUAGCUGAUGAGCAGUUAAGGUCACUUUCUGAUUAACUCAAUCAAUUGAUGCUCUUCAUUCUGCAACCCCCACUCCAUCCAUUACAAAAACUCUUUGCUUUCCCACUCUCCUUCCCAUUAUUUUAAAGAAGCUGAGGAAAGGAAGAUCACAGUAUCAUAUUUAAUAUUUACUUAAGAAAGAACACUGUACUCCUGGAGCUGUGAUGCCAUUAGGUAAAAAUGCUGUCGAGGUAUUUGGUGUGAAUGCAACUGUUUCUAAAUGCUGAGUUCAACAUUUUGUUAUUUCCUCUAUUAUUAUGAUAGAGUAGAGGUCAAAAUUAAACUCCAUGACUGGAGUAUGCCAGAGGGAGAAUUCAUAUCCAAUCAAAUACCCCCAUAUUAGCCAAAUCCCUGUAUGGAUUGUUGUCUUGACUUAUCUCCAGUAUUAUUGUAUCAGCUCUUUAAAAAAAAUAAUAAUAAAAAAAAUGUGGGAUUUCACAGCAUGGUUCCUAAGUUUGCAGUAGAAGGCCUUGAAUGAGAUCUGGAGCUGUUAAAUUCAGUGCAAUUAGCUUGUUUCACACACAUCUGUUGAGAUCUGUCCCACUGCAAGUUAGAGUGCUGCUGUUUUCCUGCAAGAGAUGGGGACAGCAAAUGUGUAAGCUGCAAGGUAAUGAUACAGUGAGUAUGAACAUACGGCUUCCAACUGCAAGAGUGUGUAUUGCUGUGCUCGUGCCAGCUUCAUGCACGUGUUCUAAGUAGACCCUGAUCAAGUCCCGUGUCUUCAGCACAAGAACUGCACUUGGUGGUUGAUUCAUGCUUCUGCCCCUGGUGAGGAGAGCAGAGUGAGAGCCACAGCCACCCUGUGACAUGUGUUGAAGCUGUGGCCUGUGUGGGCUACACCUCCCUACAGCUGGGAGAAUGGCUCUGGGCACUGCGGUCACCACUCACGUGGACCAAUAUAGCAGUGGGAAAGAGUUCUGUCUGUAUGUAGGGUACCUCCCCACCCUUCCUGUCCUUGUGGCCCCACCACCUUCUCCCUCCCAGUGUCAUAGCUCAGAUGAGCUGACUGCCACAGCAACAAUUUCAGGUGAUAACUGAGCCUUGUCAAUGACAGUAAGUGCUUCUAAGUAAAUUAUGCACCUGCUUCAUAGAAAGAUUGAAUAUAUAGGAAGAUAUGGCUAAGGUUAAUGGACUAAUCACUUGUCUCUCACCCCUGGGGUCUCUGUGUUAAUCCAGAUGAGAUUUGAAGGCUGAAAAAUUGCAGGGACAUAUAUAACUCCAAGGCGUAAUUGAAUUGAGUUGUGUGGUAAUCUUACCCAGGUUCUCAAGCCUACUGCAUAUUUUACAAGGAAACCAAUAAUGAGUAGAGCCCAUAGGUGCUGGGUGCUUGACAAAGGCUGACAGAAACAGUCUCCAGUGGCAAUUUAGCUUGGUCUCUUUGUUCAUAGAGCAGUGAUAGUAUUGUGGCACGGCAUGCUUCAGAGCAGCAGGCCCAGUGAGCCAAGAUUAAAUAUUCAUUCUGGGAGUGUGUGCUUCACAGACCGGGGCAAUUUUCUCUACUGGUGCUCAGCUCCUUCUACUAGUCUCAAAAAUUCAUGCCAAAGCAAGUUUCUUUAAGUCUACACGUGGCUCACUUAUCUUCCUGAUACCUACCUGGCCAAUGCGGGCCAUGUGACUUCUCUGUAGAAGGCAGGGAAAGAAGGCUGGCCUGCAGUCACAGGUUUAAUGCUAGCAUGGCUAGGCCUGCUCUGUUCUCAUCCCACCUCCCUGCCUGCAGAUGUCAAAUGGCCUCAGCCCCUGACUGUGGUGGGCAUCCAUUGAGGCUCAUGCUCUGAAUUGGCCAAGGAAGGGUGGAUGAGGCUGAAGAUGCAGUUAGAUGUGGUGCUACCAACUCCAGCACAAAAGGAAAGUCCUUAUCAGAUAUGUGUUUACAGUCUACUUUACUAAUUAGAAUUUCUACCACUAGAGAUGGCCUAACGAAGGCAACUAUCAUAUUCCCCAGUGAGUCAGCAGGUCUUUUAAAUCUGGUUAUGUGGUUACUUAAUACUAAAAAACCACAGAUUUGGCUGUUUCACGCUUCUGCUGCUAAAUGUCCACAGAUACAAAAAGAAAAUGCUCUUUAGAGACCAAUCACAGGUAUCCCGGGAAAAAAGAUAUUGUCAUUGAAGCAAGGUUUUUUUUGCCAAUCUGACAGUGAAAAAUGAACACCAGAUCCUGCGCGAUUUCUCUUAGGUUUAGCAUAACAAUUUAUGCUGGCAUAGGGAGAAAAAUAACAUGCAUUUCCUAAAGAUGUUGUUAGGGUUUUACCAUUGAGGGAUAACUGAAUGUUUCUUCAAGCUAGCCCCCCUGUUUGAUGUGAACCCCUUGCAGGGCCCCGUGCUCAAAGCAUCUGAGCACAGGCACUCCCUAUAGCAGCCAUAGACAGGGGGCAUGCGGUGUGCUGGCUGUCUCUGUCUCUCUUGCAGGUGACUUAAAUCCCCUAGAAGCACUAAGAGCUGCCUUUACAUACGUGUUUUCUGAAGAGCUCCACGUGGGGACCUAAAGCGUGAGGGUCUGCAUCCUUCACAAACCAAAUCACAUCGUCCACAGUCCAGGUCAAAGGAUUCUUGCUUGAUGGCCGAGCCAUGUCUUGUCGUUCUGGCGAAGGACUUGAGGCUAUCGGUACAAAAAAGCCCACAGCAGCACAUUACAAAACCAUGCAGUGAUUUCCUUGGUUUGUGAGAAGCCCCACGUGUUGGACACUGGAUCUGUGUGCAUCAGCCUGAGCUGACGGGGAGGGAAAGAAGUGAUUUGGCAGUUUUGGAUCCAACUGCUUACCAGGGGAUACGAUCCCAGCUGGUGAAUUGUGUUAAAAAACAUGAAACCCUCAGGUUCCUGCUGAGGAAGGAACAAUGUGCCAGCUGCCAGCCUCUUAAACUGAGCUGCCCCUGCUGUCUGAUCUGCAAGCAGUGGGGAUCUCGGCUCCAGAAGACACCACCCUCCCACCUGGAGGCAUGAAACAAAGGAGCUUGCCGUUGAAUGCAAAGGCUAGGUGAUAAACUCUGGAUUUAGCAAGUAUUUUUUUUCUUUGCAUCCAGACAUUCAGACUUUUCUUGGAGCUUAGAAGUAGGUUCCUAGUGAACGUUCUGCUAAUCUUAGGCUCGGGCGAAGCUGAGGGUCCCCAGUGAAUGCCUGUUUGGAGACCUACUAAAACACAUGGAGAUGAACACUGCACAUGUGACUUUUUAAUGGUGUAAGCCCUGGAUGAUUUAAGGUCACUUUGACUUGCUGUAGCUUUAAAUCAAAUGAAUAAAGGCACAUUGGAAUGAAA